GAUUAACGCUGGCGGCGUGCCUAACACAUGCCAGUCGAGCGGCAGCGAGUUUUGCUCUGUAUUCUGGAAGCUGCUAGUUGAGAGAGAAGAUUUAUUCAAGAAUUUUGUGUAAAAUGUCGGCGAGCGGCGGACGGCUGAGUUACUAGUGGGUACGUACCCAAAAGCGAGGGAUAACGCAUCCAAAGGUGUGCUAAUACCGCAUAUGCUCUUCGGAUUAAAUCCUUCGGGCGCUUUGGGAACGGCAUGCGUAAGAUUAGAUGGUUGGUGGGGUAAUGGGCUAUCAAGGCGACGAUCGUUAACCGGUAAGAGAGGAAGAUCAGACAGACUGGAAGUGAGACACGGUCGAGACUACUACGGGAGGGAGGAGAGAGGAAUCCAGCAAAAUGGGCGAAAGCCUGAUGGAGCAACGCCGGGUGAAGGAUGAAGGCCGGCGGGUUGGAAACUGCUUUUAUAAGUGAGGAUUAUGACAGUAACUGAUGAAGAAGGAUCGGCUAACUACGUG
rnacentral:rRNA from 1 species